GCGACUGAUUUUGAAAUCAAAGAUCCUGAUAGAACUCCAAGCGAGUUUCCUGAGUUGGUUCGUGAUUGCCCUCUCGGGAAGGUCUGGCACUCGAAGGAUACGAAAUUCAAAACACCUCGAGCCAGGUUUUAUUUUCAUCUCAUGUCGCCGCUAGUAAACGCCAGCCCUGAGAGGUGAGAUAUGAGAAGUUAGUUUAUCU